AUUGAACGCUGGCGGCGUGCUUAACACAUGCAAGUCGAUCGGUAACAGGUGUAGCAAUACAUGCUGACGAGAGGCGGACGGGUGAGGAAUAUUUGGGAAUCUGCCCAUCAGCGGGGGACAACCCGGGGAAACCCGGGCUAAUACCGCAUACGCUCUACGGAGGAAAGCCGGGGACCGCAAGGCCUGGCACUGAUGGAUGAGCCCAAAUCGGAUUAGCUAGUUGGCGGGGUAACGGCCCACCAAGGCGACGAUCCGUAGCUGGUCUGAGAGGACGAUCAGCCACACCGGAACUGAGACACGGUCCGGACUCCUACGGGAGGCAGCAGUGGGGAAUAUUGGACAAUGGGGGAAACCCUGAUCCAGCGACGCCGCGUGGGUGAAGAAGGCCUGCGGGUUGUAAAGCCCUUUCGGUAGGGACGAAAGCUCUUGCUCCAACAAAGCAGGAGGUUGACUUAACCUACAUAAGAAGCACCGGCUAACUCUGUGCCAGCAGCCGCGGUAACAC
rnacentral:rRNA from 1 species